rnacentral:rRNA from 1 species
AGGGCACCACCAGGAGUGGAGCCUGCGGCUUAAUUUGACUCAACACGGGGAAACUCACCCGGCCCGGACACCGUAAGGAUUGACAGAUUGAUAGCUUUUUCAUGAUUCGGUGGAUGGUGGUGCAUGGCCGUUCUUAGUUCGUGGAGCGAUUUGUCUGGUUUAUUCCGAUAACGAGCGAGACUCUAGCCUACUAAAUAGUUCGCACAUUGUCUCUGUGUGUGUGACUUCUUAGAGGGAUUUUCGGUGUUCAGCCGCACGAAAUUGAGCUAUAACAGGUCUGUGAUGCCCUUAGAUGUCCGGGGCUGCACGCGCGCUACACUGGCAAAAUCAGCGUGCUUGUCCUUCCCCGAAAGGGGUUGGUAAACCCUUGAAAAUUUGCCGUGAUUGGGAUUGGAAAUUGCAAUUAUUUUCCAUGAACGAGGAAUUCCAAGUAAGUGCGAGUCAUCAGCUCGCGUUGAUUACGUCCCUGCCCUUUGUACACACCGCCCGUCGCUGCCCGGGACUGAGCCAUUUCGAGAA